ACGAACGGAUAAAGAGCUUGCUCUUUUGAAGUUAGUGGCGGACGGGUGAGUAACACGUGGGUAACCUGCCUCACAGCUGGGGAUAACAUCGAGAAAUCGAUGCUAAUACCGAAUGUGCUGAACAUCAUAAGAUGUUCAAGUGAAAGACGGUUUCGGCUGUCACUGUGAGAUGGACCCGCGCUGGAUUAGCUAGUUGGUAAGGUAAUGGCUUACCAAGGCGACGAUCCAUAGCCGACCUGAGAGGGUGAUCGGCCACAUUGGGACUGAGACACGGCCCAAACUCCUACGGGAGGCAGCAGUAGGGAAUCUUCGGCAAUGGACGAAAGUCUGACCGAGCAACGCCGCGUGAGCGAAGAAGGCCUUCGGGUCGUAAAGCUCUGUUGUUAGAGAAGAACAUGGGUGAGAGUAACUGUUCACCCCUUGACGGUAUCUAACCAGAAAGCCACGGCUAACUACGUGCCAGCAGCCGCGGUAAUACGUAGGUGGCAAGCGUUGUCCGGAAUUAUUGGGCGUAAAGCGCGCGCAGGCGGUCUCUUAAGUCUGAUGUGAAAGCCCCCGGCUCAACCGGGGAGGGUCAUUGGA
rnacentral:rRNA from 1 species